rnacentral:rRNA from 1 species
CCUACGGGUGGCAGCAGUGAGGAAUACUGGUCAAUGGACGCAAGUCUGAACCAGCCAUGCCGCGUGCAGGAUGACGGCUCUAUGAGUUGUAAACUGCUUUUGUACGAGGGUAAACGCAGAUACGCGUAUCUUUCUGAAUGUAUCGUACGAAUAAGGAUCGGCUAACUCCGUGCCAGCAGCCGCGGUAAUACGGAGGAUUCAAGCGUUAUCCGGAUUUAUUGGGUUUAAAGGGUGCGUAGGCGGUCGGUUAAGUUAGUGGUGAAAUCUCGAGGCUCAACUUCGGAAUUGCCUUUGAUACUGGUCGUCUAGAGAGUAGUUGAGGUAGGCGGAAUGUAUGGUGUAGCGGUGAAAUGCUUAGAGAUCAUACAGAACACCGAUUGCGAAGGCAGCUUACGAAGCUACUACUGACGUUGAGGCACGAAAGCGUGGGGAGCAAACAGGAUUAGAUACCCCGGUAGUC